rnacentral:rRNA from 1 species
AUUGAACGCUGGCGGCAGGCCUAACACAUGCAAGUCGAGCGGAUGAAGGGAGCUUGCUCCUGGAUUCAGCGGCGGACGGGUGAGUAAUGCCUAGGAAUCUGCCUGGUAGUGGGGGAUGACGUCCGGAAACGGGCGCUAAUACCGCAUACGUCCUGAGGGAGAAAGUGGGGGAUCUUCGGACCUCACGCUAUCAGAUGAGCCUAGGUCGGAUUAGCUAGUUGGUGGGGUAAAGGCCUACCAAGGCGACGAUCCGUAACUGGUCUGAGAGGAUGAUCAGUCACACUGGAACUGAGACACGGUCCAGACUCCUACGGGAGGCAGCAGUGGGGAAUAUUGGACAAUGGGCGAAAGCCUGAUCCAGCCAUGCCGCGUGUGCGAAGAAGGUCUUCGGAUUGUAAAGCACUUUAAGUUGGGAGGAAGGGCAGUAAGUUAAUACCUUGCUGUUUUGACGUUACCAACAGAAUAAGCACCGGCUAACUUCGUG